UGUAUGGCGACGCGGAGGGACAUUACCGAGUUUACAACUCCCAAACCCAAUGUGAACCAUACCAAACUGUUGCCUCGGCGGGGUCACGCCCCGGGUGCGUCGCAGCCCCGGAACCAGGCGCCCGCCGGAGGGACCAACCAAACUCUUUUCUGUAGUCCCCUCGCGGACGUUAUUUCUUACAGCUCUGAGCAAAAAUUCAAAAUGAAUCAAAACUUUCAACAACGGAUCUCUUGGUUCUGGCAUCGAUGAAGAACGCAGCGAAAUGCGAUAAGUAAUGUGAAUUGCAGAAUUCAGUGAAUCAUCGAAUCUUUGAACGCACAUUGCGCCCGCCAGUAUUCUGGCGGGCAUGCCUGUCCGAGCGUCAUUUCAACCCUCGAACCCCUCCGGGGGGUCGGCGUUGGGGACCUCGGGAGCCCCUAAGACGGGAUCCCGGCCCCGAAAUACAGUGGCGGUCUCGCCGCAGCCUCUCCUGCGCAGUAGUUUGCACAACUCGCACCGGGAGCGCGGCGCGUCCACGUCCGUAAAACACCCAACUUUCUGAAAUGUUGACCUCGGAUCAGGUAGGAAUACCCGCUGAACUUAAGCAUAUCAAA
rnacentral:rRNA from 1 species